rnacentral:rRNA from 1 species
UACGUAGGGUGCGAGCGUUACUCGGAAUUACUGGGCGUAAAGCGUGCGCAGGCGGUUUUGUAAGCCAGAUGUGAAAUCCCCGGGCUUAACCUGGGAAGGGCAUUUGGGACUGCAAGGCUUGAGUGCGGCAGAGGAGACUGGAAUUCCUGGUGUAGCAGUGAAAUGCGUAGAUAUCAGGAGGAAUACCGAUGGCGAAGGCAGGUCUCUGGGCUGACACUGACGCUCAUGCACGAAAGCGUGGGGAGCAAACAGG